AUGUCCUAAGUUGCUUGCCGUGUGCUUCUGACUCACCAGGUAUACGGAGGUUUCCACAACUGCGUACUCGGGUCCAAUUCGCUGUUUUGAGAAAACCUGUUGGUCAGCUUAUUCCAAAGGAUAAUUUAAAGGCAGAGAGGGGAUAUGUGCUCCAAGAAGUGCAUGUGUUUGGCUACCUAGAAGCUCUACGAAACUGUCCUUCAUAGAUUUUUACAGGUCUUCCUUUGCAUAGGCUUGAUUCGGUAGACAGGAAGAAUGUGUUGGGACCCCACAAGCCUCAUCUCCAGCGAGGAGAUGAUGUACAAAGUGAAUAAUGAACCUUGAGUCAGCACCAUCUUUGCAGAUACUGGGUCAAAAAUGUCCAGAGUCUGUCCUUGUGGUUUAAUGUUCUUAUAUAUUUAAGCAUAGCAAAACUUUGGGGGAAAGGAAACCAUAGGACAGUUAAUCACCACAAAGCUUUACGAAGAGCUACAUAGAAUCCCCCUAGCAAAGUAACAAAGCACCUGUGACCUUUACAAUGCGUUCUAUUGGCUGAUAAAAAGAGCUCAGAUCUCCAGCCUAAAGAGGAAGGCUUGGCAAUAAGUGUAAGAAUAGACUCUGGGUGGAGGACGCAAAGGUCUAGGCACUGAGGGGCAAAGCUCAGCAUCUGGGCCUAAACAAUGCUCAGGAUAUUGGGGGACUCCUAGUAGAAUCGCAAAGGAUCACUAGGCUGUUUGACCAUUUUCAGUCUGGCCUUCCAGGUGACCAGACAUUUUUCAUUUCCUUCUGAAUGAAAUGAAUGUUCUGUUUUUUUUCCUGGGGGAGGCCUGCAGGAUUGACC
rnacentral:lncRNA from 1 species